rnacentral:rRNA from 1 species
CGGACGGGGUGGAGGUAACGCGUGGGUAACCUGCCUUGUACUGGGGACGAACAGUUAGAAAUGACUGCUAAUACCGCAUAAGCGCACAGUAUCGCAUGAUACAGUGUGGAAAAACUCCGGUGGUACAAGAUGGACCCGCGUCUGAUUAGCUAGUUGGUAAGGUAACGGCUUACCAAGGCGACGAUCAGUAGCCGACCUGAGAGGGUGACCGGCCACAUUGGGACUGAGACACGGCCCAA